AGUGAACGCUGGCGGUAGGCCUAACACAUGCAAGUCGAACGGCAGCACAGUAAGAGCUUGCUCUUACGGGUGGCGAGUGGCGGACGGGUGAGGAAUACAUCGGAAUCUACUUUUUCGUGGGGGAUAACGUAGGGAAACUUACGCUAAUACCGCAUACGACCUACGGGGUGAAAGCAGGGGAUCUUCGGACCUUGCGCGAUUGAAUGAGCCGAUGUCGGAUUAGCUAGUUGGCGGGGUAAAGGCCCACCAAGGCGACGAUCCGUAGCUGGUCUGAGAGGAUGAUCAGCCACACUGGAACUGAGACACGGUCCAGACUCCUACGGGAGGCAGCAGUGGGGAAUAUUGGACAAUGGGCGCAAGCCUGAUCCAGCCAUACCGCGUGGGUGAAGAAGGCCUUCGGGUUGUAAAGCCCUUUUGUUGGGAAAGAAAAGCAGCAGGUUAAUACCCCGCUGUUCUGACGGUACCCAAAGAAUAAGCACCGGCUAACUUCGUG
rnacentral:rRNA from 1 species